GACGAACGCUGGCGGCGUGCCUAAUACAUGCAAGUAGAACGCACAGUUUAUACCGUAGCUUGUUACACCAUAGACUGUGAGUUGCGAACGGGUGAGUAACGCGUAGGUAACCUGCCUGGUAGCGGGGGAUAACUAUUGGAAACGAUAGCUAAUACCGCAUAAUAUUGAUUAUUGCAUGAUAAUUGAUUGAAAGAUGCUAUUGCAUCACUACCAGAUGGACCUGCGUUGUAUUAGCUAGUAGGUGAGGUAACGGCUCACCUAGGCGACGAUACAUAGCCGACCUGAGAGGGUGAUCGGCCACACUGGGACUGAGACACGGCCCAGACUCCUACGGGAGGCAGCAGUAGGGAAUCUUCGGCAAUGGACGAAAGUCUGACCGAGCAACGCCGCGUGAGUGAAGAAGGUUUUCGGAUCGUAAAGCUCGGUUGUAAGAGAAGAACGGGUGUGAGAGUGGAAAGUUCACACUGUGACGGUAUCUUAACAGAAAGGGACGGCUAACUACGUG
rnacentral:rRNA from 1 species